GCCUAACACAUGCAAGUCGAACGGGGCCUCCAACAAUGGAUACUUAGUGGCGAACGGGUGAGUAACGCGUAGACAACCUGCCUCUAAAUUGGGGACAACACCGCGAAAGUGGUGCUAAUACCGAAUGUGGUAUCUUGGUCGCAUGACUGAGAUAAGAAAGGUGGCCUCUGAAUAUGCUACCGAUUAGAGAUGGGUCUGCGUCUGAUUAGCUAGUUGGUGAGGUAAUGGCUCACCAAGGCGACGAUCAGUAGCCGGUCUGAGAGGAUGAACGGCCACACUGGGACUGAGACACGGCCCAGACUCCUACGGGAGGCAGCAGUGGGGAAUCUUCCGCAAUGGACGAAAGUCUGACGGAGCAACGCCGCGUGAGUGAAGAAGGUCUUCGGAUUGUAAAGCUCUGUCGUUUGGGACGAACGUGGGAUGUGUGAAUAAUGCAUUCUAAUGACGGUACCAAAGGAGGAAGCCACGGCUAACUACGUGCCAGCAGCCGCGGUAAUACGUAGGUGGCAAGCGUUGUCCGGAAUUAUUGGGCGUAAAGGGCGUGUAGGUGGAUCUUUAAGUCGUGUGUCUAAGUGCGAGGCUCAACCUCGUAUAGGCGCAGGAAACUGGUUAUCUUGAGUGCAGGAGAGGAAAGUGGAAUUCCCAGUGUAGCGGUGAAAUGCGUAGAUAUUGGGAGGAACACCAGUGGCGAAGGCGACUUUCUGGACUGUGUCUGACACUGAGGCGCGAAAGCCAGGGGAGCGAACGGGAUUAGAUACCCCGGUAGUCCUGGCCGUAAACGAUGGGUACUAGGUGUAGAGGGUAUCGACCCCUUCUGUGCCGCAAGCUAACGCAAUAAGUACCCCGCCUGGGGAGUACG
rnacentral:rRNA from 1 species